rnacentral:rRNA from 1 species
GAUGAACGCUGGCGGCGUGCCUAAUACAUGCAAGUCGAGCGAACGGACGAGAAGCUUGCUUCUCUGAUGUUAGCGGCGGACGGGUGAUUAACACGUGGAUAACCUAUCUAUAAGACUGGGAUAACUUCGGGAAACCGGAGCUAAUACCGGAUAAUAUUUUGAAACGCAUGGUUCAAAAGUGAAAGACGGUCUUGCUGUCACUUAUAGAUGGAUCCGUGCUGCAUUAGCUAGUUGGUAAGGUAACGGCUUACCAAGGCAACGAUGCAUAGACGACCUGAGAGGGUGAUCAGCCACACUGGGACUGAGACACGGUCCAGACUCCUACGGGAGGCAGCAGUAGGGAAUCUUCCACAAUGGGCGAAAGCCUGACGGAGCAACGCCGCGUGAGUGAUGAAGGUCUUCGGAUCGUAAAACUCUGUUAUUAGGGAAGAACAUAUGUGUAAGUAACUGUGCACAUCUUGACGGUACCUAAACAGAAAGCCACGGCUAACUACGUG